rnacentral:tRNA from 1 species
GCACCCGUAGCUCAGCUGGAUAGAGCAACUGGCUACGAACCAGUAGGUCGGGCGUUCAAGUCGCUCCGGGUGCACCA